GGAGGAGUCAGCGAUGGGAGGCGUCUGCAGGGGCUCCUCCAGUUCUGCGCCCAGAGAGAGCCCGGGCACAAAGAGCGGUCUGCACUCCAGCCUCAGGAUCGCCGGCCCGAGGUGUGUGCUCCAGCGCUCCCUGGUGGUUCCUGACUUGUUCACACAGCCGCGCAGCUUGGUGGGAUCGGAGGAGGUCUCAAGAGUUCCCAGAGUUCCGGGGAUGCCGACGCGAGAAGGAAAUUGAGGUCAUCACAGCCACGACGAGGAGCAGCCUUGCAGAUAAGUAUUGGGGUUCACCAGCGUGCAGCCCGACAGUCUCUCUGUUGGUGUGUGCAGGGAAAACGUAUCUCACAAUCCCAGGGGAAAGGAAGGCUGCAAGACAGACAUUUGCUUCUCCACCCCUUUUUUAAAAACUAUUUUUAUUUUUAAAUAUUUUAUUUUUAUUUAUUUAUUUGAGAGAGGGAAAGACAGAGAGAGAGAGAGAAUGGGCUUCUAGCCACUGCAAAUGAACUCCGAUACA